UUAGAGUUUGUUCAUGCUCAGGAUGAACGCGGGCGGCGUGCCUAAUACAUGAAAGUCGAGCGGACGGAUGGGAGCUUGCUCCCUGAUGUCAGCGGCGGACGGGUGAGUAACACGUGGGCAACCUGCCUGUAAGACUGGGAUAACUCCGGGAAACCGGGGCUAAUACCGGAUAAUUCUUUCCCUCACAUGAGGGAAAGCUGAAAGAUGGUUUCGGCUAUCACUUACAGAUGGGCCCGCGGCGCAUUAGCUAGUUGGUGAGGUAACGGCUCACCAAGGCAACGAUGCGUAGCCGACCUGAGAGGGUGAUCGGCCACACUGGGACUGAGACACGGCCCAGACUCCUACGGGAGGCAGCAGUAGGGAAUCUUCCGCAAUGGACGAAAGUCUGACGGAGCAACGCCGCGUGAGUGAUGAAGGUUUUCGGAUCGUAAAACUAUGUUGUUAGGGAAGAACAAGUACCGGAGUAACAGCAGAUACCAUGACGAUACCUAACCAGAAAGCCACGGCUAACUACGUGCCAGCAAAACAAAGGUAAUAUUGUAGGUGGCAAGCGUUGUCCGGAAUUAUUGGGCGUAAAGCGCGCGCAGGCGGUUCCUUAAGUCUGAUGUGAAAGCCCACGGCUCAACCGUGGAGGGUCAUUGGAAACUGGGGAACUUGAGUGCAGAAGAGGAGAGUGGAAUUCCACGUGUAGCGGUGAAAUGCGUAGAGAUGUGGAGGAACACCAGUGGCGAAGGCGACUCUCUGGUCUGUAACUGUCGUCUUAUGCGCGAAAGCGUGGGGAGCAAACAGGAUUAUAUUUCCUGGUAGUCCACGCCGUAAACGAUGAGUGCUAAGUGUUAUAUGGGUUUCUUCUCCUUUAGUGCUGCAGCAAACGCAUUAAUCAUUCCGCCUGGGGAGUACGGCCGCAAGGCUGAAACUCAAAGGAAUUGACGGGUGCCUGCAUAAGCGGUGGAGCAUGUGGUUUAAUUCGAAGCAACGCGAAGAACCUUACCAGGUCUUGACAUCUCCUGACACCCUAGAGAUAGGGCGUUCCCCUUCGGGGGACAGGAUGACAGGUGGUGCAUGGUUGUCGUCAGCUCGUGUCGUGAGAUGUUGGGUUAAGUCCCGCAACGAGCGCAACCCUUGAUCUUAGUUGCCAGCAUUCAGUUGGGCACUCUAAGGUGACUGCCGGUGACUAACCGGAGGAAUGUGGGGAUGA
rnacentral:rRNA from 1 species